UACGGGGGGGGUAAGCGUUGUUCGGAAUUACUGGGCGUAAAGGGCGCGUAGGCGGCCGUCUAAGUCGAACGUGAAAUCCCCGGGCUCAACCCGGGAACUGCGUCCGAGACUGGAAGGCUCGAAUCCGGGAGAGGGAUGUGGAAUUCCAGGUGUAGCGGUGAAAUGCGUAGAUAUCUGGAGGAACAUCGGUGGCGAAGGCGGCAUCCUGGACCGGUAUUGACGCUGAGGCGCGAAAGCCAGGGGAGCAAACGGG
rnacentral:rRNA from 1 species